UAUUUAUCGCAUCGGCACGUUAAGCCGC
rnacentral:sRNA from 1 species